rnacentral:lncRNA from 1 species
UUUGAGCGUACAAUUGUGAUAUAUAAAUAUGAUGACUCUUGUUGAAAUAAUGAAUUAUGGCUAUGUCAUUAGAUGGAUAAAAGAGUUAUAUUUACUAGAUUAAGUUGAACCCCAUGUACAAUAUUGUUAGAUGAGGUUUUAUGUGUAUAAGUUCCAUGGGUACAUUGUUCAUGCUAUUUAAUUUCUUGUAUGGAGAAGUCUAGG